rnacentral:misc_RNA from 1 species
GAUGAAGAACGUAGCGGAAUGCGAUACUUGGUGUGAAUUGCAGAAUCCCGUGAACCAUCGAGUCUUUGAACGCAAGUUGCGACCGAAGCCGUCAGGCCGAGGGCACGCCUGCCUGGGCGUCACACGCCGUUGCCCCCCCGCGCCCCGCACCCAACUCUUUGGGAGCGACCGCGGGGCGGGCUGAUGAUGGCCUCCCGUGCGCUCCGCCGCGCGGUUGGCCCAAAUACCGAGUCCCCGGCGACGUGCGCCACGACGAUCGGUGGUUGAGAGACCUCUGUCGCAAGUCGUGCGCGCCCGUCGCGUCACGCGGGCUCGCAUAGCGCCUCGCGCCGCACCCGGUGCGGAGCUUUCAACGCGACCCCAGGUCAGGCGGGGUUACCCGCUGAAUUUAAGCAUAUCAAUAAGCGGAGGA